GGGCCCCAGCUUACCAUGCAGUCGAACGGACUCUUCGGAUUAGUGGCGGACGGGUGAGUAACGCGUGAGAAUUUGGCUUCUGGUCGGGGACAACAGUUGGAAACGACUGCUAAUACCGGAUGUGCCCAAAGGUGAAAAAUUUAUUGCCUGAAAAUAAGCUCUCGUCUGAUUAUCUAUUUGGUGGGGUAAGAGCCUACCAAGGCGACAAUCACUAUCUGGUCUGAGAGGAUGAUCACCCCCACUGGGACUGAGACACGGCCCACACUCCUACGGGAGGCGGCAGUGGGGAAUUUUCCGCAAUGGGCGAAAGCCUGACGGAGCAAUACCCCGUGAGGGAGGAAGGCUCUUGGGUCUUAAACCUCUUUUCUCAAGGAAAAAAAAAGUGACGGUACUUAAGGAAUAACCAUCGGCUAACUCCGUGCCACCACCCGCGGUAAUACGGAGGAUGCAAGCGUUAUCCGGAAUGAUUGGGCGUAAAGGGUCCGCAGGUGGAACUGAAAGUCUGCUGUUAAAAAGACUGGGUCAACCCAGAUAAAAAGCAGUGGUAAACUACAGAACUAGAGUGCGGUUCGGGGCAAAAAGAAAUUCCUGGUGUAGAGGUGAAAUGCGUAGAAUAUCAGGAAAAACACCGGUGGCGAAAGCGUUCUGCUAGGCCGCAACUGACACUGAGGGACGAAAAGCUAGGGGAGCGAAUGGGAUUAGAUACCCCAGUAGUCCUAGCCGUAAACGAUGGAUACUAGGCGUGGCUUGUAUCGACCCGAGCCGUGCCGGAGCUAACGCGUUAAGUAUCCCGCCUGGGGAGUACGCACGCAAGUGUGAAACUCAAAGGAAUUGACGGGGGCCCGCACAAGCGGUGGAGUAUGUGGUUUAAUUCGAUGCAACGCGAAGAACCUUACCAAGACUUGACAUCCUGCGAAUCCUGGUGAAAGGUGGGAGUGCCUUCGGGAGCGCAGAGACAGGUGGUGCAUGGCUGUCGUCAGCUCGUGUCGUGAGAUGUUGGGUUAAGUCCCGCAACGAGCGCAACCCUCGUUUUUAGUUGCCAGCAUUAAGAUGGGCACUCUAGAGAGACUGCCGGUGACAAACCGGAGGAAGGUGAGGAUGACGUCAAGUCAGCAUGCCCCUUACGUCUUGGGCUACACACGUACUACAAUGCUACGGACAAAGGGCAGCUACACAGCGAUGUGAUGCAAAUUUCAGAAACCGUAGCUCAGUUCAGAUCGAAGGCUGCAACUCGCCUUCGUGAAGGAGGAAUCGCUAGUAAUUGCAGGUCAGCAUACUGCAGUGAAUUCGUUCCCGGGCCUUGUACACACCGCCCGUCACACCAUGGAAGUUGGUCACGCCCGAAGUCAUUACCCUCAACCGAAAGGAGCAGGAUGCCCUACCGGAAGAAUCUUGC
rnacentral:rRNA from 1 species